rnacentral:rRNA from 1 species
CAACAGAGAGAAGCAAUACCGCGAGGUGGAGCAAAACUUCAAAAAUGGUCUCAGUUCGGACUGUAGGCUGCAACUCGCCUACACGAAGUUGGAAUUGCUAGUAAUCGUGGAUCAGCAUGCCACGGUGAAUACGUUCCCGGGUCUUGUACACACCGCCCGUCACACCAUGGGAGCUGGUAACACCCGAAGUCAGUAGUCUAACCGCAAGGAGGACGCUGCCGAAGGUGGGAUUAGCGACUGGGGUGAAGUCGUAACAAGGUACC